rnacentral:rRNA from 1 species
UACGUAGGUGGCAAGCGUUAUCCGGAAUUAUUGGGCGUAAAGAGCUCGUAGGCGGUUUGUCGCGUCUGCCGUGAAAGUCCGGGGCUCAACUCCGGAUCUGCGGUGGGUACGGGCAGACUAGAGUGAUGUAGGGGAGACUGGAAUUCCUGGUGUAGCGGUGAAAUGCGCAGAUAUCAGGAGGAACACCGAUGGCGAAGGCAGGUCUCUGGGCAUUAACUGACGCUGAGGAGCGAAAGUGUGGGGAGCGAACAGG